UAGAUAAUCUUUUUUCAUCUAACGAGAGCAGAUGAGGCACGGAUUGUACAGAGUACGGUGAAGAUUCGUUGCAGAAUAUGUCUCAAGACGCGAAGGGUGCCGUUAGAGGUUUUUCGCUCUCAUAGAGAAAAUCAAGCUCUUUUUUACGGAUGGACGGUAAUUUUGAAGUUUUGAAUCCUCCAAUUAAAGUAUGAAUCGAUUUAUGCAAGAGUUGAAUUGUUAAUUUAUAUGCCAUAUACUGACACUGCCAAGUCUUUUCUUGUUCUUUUUGGACACCAUUUACCAAGUCUUCUACUUCUUAAUUUACAUAACAUAACCAUAACAUCGUGCUUCUUUUUUAUUUAUUUAUUUAUUUUUUUUUUUUAUUUUUAAAUUUAAUUUUUAAUUUAAAUUUUUAUUGGAUUACAUAUCAAAAGCUACUUCUUAAUUCAAGAUUCAAAGAUUUUAACGGUCAGAUAAUAGGCAACAUGGAUUAAUUAAGUUUCUCAUGUGUGCGUUCGUUAUAAUACCAUACUGAUAAUUUGCAACCUAAAUUCUAAUUAGCCAAACCAACAAUAGCUACAUACUUUGUUUCAUUGUUUUUGCAUGAGCUAUUUUCAUUUGAUUUUGGUUUUUUAACUUUUAAAUGGGUGUAAAGAUAAAUUACAUGUUGAAUUGCGUUUGUAAGGUUAGUUUAGGCAGUAAAUAUGGGUUCAAAGAGAUAUUGACAAUUUAAUUAAUAAUGAUAUAGGUGUAAAGAGUAAGUUGUGUGUAGAAAGAAGUUCUAUAGGUUCACAUAAAUUUCCCUUUCUAGUAUGCUUGAGGUACUGUAUCCAACACAAUUGUUCACUGUUAGAUUCUUGAUCAAGGAGCCAGUGACCAAGAUUUAACCGUCAAAAGUCUCCAUUAAAAUUAUCGGGAACUUAGUCGUUAUUUCCAAGACUAGAAGUAAAAAUAGGAUAAGAUAAGAGGACAGGACAUACAGUUUUGCGUUUUCUUUAUUAUUUUUUGGAAUAUGAAUUUUACAAUUCAGGUUUUUGGGGGGAGGGGGUGGUACCAAAGAGUCCCUUUUCAGCCUAAGCAAAUUUUGUGAGACUUUGGCUAAAAAUUAGCAUCCUCAUUCAGCUCUCACCUUUUAGUCAAAUUGGCUGAAUAAAAGAACAAAAAAAAAAAGAAAAAA